rnacentral:rRNA from 1 species
AUAACAAUACCGAGCUCUAUGAGUCUGGUAAUUGGAAUGAGUACAAUCUAAAUCCCUUAACGAGGAUCCAUUGGAGGGAAACUCUGGUGACAGCAGCCACGGUAAUUGUAAGGCCCCGU